UACAGAGGGUGCAAGCGUUGUUCGGAAUUAUUGGGCGUAAAGCGCGUGUAGGCGGCUUUGCAAGUCGGGUGUGAAAGCCCUCAGCUCAACUGAGGAAGUGCGCCCGAAACUGCAGAGCUUGAGUGCCGGAGAGGGUGGCGGAAUUCCCCAAGUAGAGGUGAAAUUCGUAGAUAUGGGGAGGAACACCGGUGGCGAAGGCGGCCACCUGGACGGCAACUGACGCUGAGGAGCGAAAGCCAGGGGAGCAAACGGG
rnacentral:rRNA from 1 species